UGGGGGAUAUUGCACAAUGGGGGGAACCCUGAUGCAGCGACGCCGCGUGGGGGAUGAAGGCCUUCGGGUUGUAAACUCUUUUCGCUUAUGAACAAGCCGCUUCUUUGGGGGUGGUGAGUGUAGUGGGUAAAGAAGCGCCGGCUAACUACGUGCCAGCAGCCGCGGUAAUACGUAGGGCGCGAGCGUUGUCCGGAAUUAUUGGGCGUAAAGGGCUCGUAGGUGGCUGGUUGCGUCUGUCGUGAAAGCUCAUGGCUUAACUGUGGGUUUGCGGUGGGUACGGGCUGGCUUGAGUGCAGUAGGGGAGAUUGGAAUUCCUGGUGUAGCGGUGGAAUGCGCAGAUAUCAGGAGGAAUACCGGUGGCGAAGGCGGGUCUCUGGGCUGUUACUGACGCUGAGGAGCGAAAGCGUGGGGAGCGAACAGG
rnacentral:rRNA from 1 species